rnacentral:rRNA from 1 species
UACGGGGGGGGCAAGCGUUGUUCGGAAUUACUGGGCGUAAAGGGCUCGUAGGUGGCCAACUAAGUCAGACGUGAAAUCCCUCGGCUUAACCGGGGAACUGCGUCUGAUACUGGAUGGCUAGAGAUUGGGAGAGGGAUGCGGAAUUCCAGGUGUAGCGGUGAAAUGCGUAGAGAUCCGGAGGAACACCAGUGGCGAAGGCGACACGCUGGGCCGUACCUGACGCUGAUACGCGACAGCAUGGGGAGCGAACGGG